rnacentral:lncRNA from 1 species
GGUGGAGAGUAGAAAGAAACGGGGAAGAAGCAUAUUCCUAAAGACGCUAACAUCGUCAGAUACUAGAAAAGCCACUGCAUGUAUCUUGUGUGUCAGCUUUAGAGCUGCCUUCACGUAACUGACGGAUGGGGUAUUUUGUCGCCUAACGUUGAAUACUGCUAAUUAGAGAGGCAAAGAUUGCCUUUUUCUUGAGUUCAUUUUAAAUAAAAGGCUCCAUUGAAACAAUGUCUCGGUAAAAAUUUAGGUACUAGCAAUUGAUGGGUAAAACUCUGUACCUAAGAUUUGUAUUAUAUCGGUUCCAAAAUAAUUAGGUUGGCAAACCUGUUAGGAACACCUCUCCCCUAUGAACACUGUCGUCUGCUGGUUUUCAAAGGAUGGCUACAUCUUACGUGAAAUGUAUUUCCAAGUUUUGCCGAGUAUUAAGAGGCUUCCAGAGAAGAAAGACAGAGCUGAUUUUUUACCACCAAAGUUCAAUGGAGGUUGAACUCUAAAAUGGAAGUCAACUAAAGACGAUUUGAAAAUGAAAGGCCCAGGACUUGGGGAGACGUUUCCACCGACGCACAAGUUGACCCCACUGCCUUCUGAGCCUGCUUCACCCCGGUGUGCACCCCCGCCACUGCCCUGCAUAGGAGGUUCCUCAGACUUUGUGCUGCUCCCUGCACGUCUUCAGGACGUCCUUUCUGCUUGGAUGCCCGUCUUCAGCUCCCAUCCUCCAACAGGCAGAUCCUCAGUCCUUCAAGCCCGGUCCAAACAUUCCUGGCUCUGGGGAACUUCAGCGCCUGGCCCCGCCCAGCAGUACGAAAGCACAGAAGCUCCUCUGCCUCGUCCGUCUUUCCGUGAAGCUCUGACUGCACCGCCACAUCGUCUUGCUGCCACCCAGAUCGCGCGCUCUUCGGGGCUGGGGGCUGAGCCCUAG